UACGUAGGGUGCAAGCGUUAAUCGGAAUUACUGGGCGUAAAGCGUGCGCAGGCGGUUUUGUAAGUCUGACGUGAAAUCCCCGGGCUCAACCUGGGAAUUGCGUUGGAGACUGCAAGGCUUGAAUCUGGCAGAGGGGGGGUAGAAUUCCACGUGUAGCAGUGAAAUGCGUAGAGAUGUGGAGGAACACCGAUGGCGAAGGCAGCCCCCUGGGUCAAGAUUGACGCUCAUGCACGAAAGCGUGGGGAGCAAACAGG
rnacentral:rRNA from 1 species